AUGGCCGACUCCCUUGUCCUGGUGCAGCUCAAAGCCAACCGAACUGAUGCAAAACGGCAAUUCUCACGCUUAGCCAACAACGUGCUGAGAAUGCACACAGUGAUGUCCGAAGAGGAACUCAAGGACAGUUUUAAAACCCUUACCAUGGAAGCUAAUAAAGUCUUUGAGGCCAACGAUGAUGUUGAAGAUCAGUACGCUGCUGAGUCAGCGCUGGAAGGAGGUGCGCUGACAGACCAGCAGAGGGCAGACUUGGAGAAGGCUUCAAGUGAGUGUGAAAAGAAAUUAAUGGAGCUUAAAGACCUCAUUGUAAAAACUUUAUGGGCUAAGUAUGGAGAAGAGGAACUAAGCUUGGCAGUCGAGGCUGCAGAGUCGGAAGUGGAGCAUGUAGGGGCUAUUGCACCGAGUGAAGAUAAAGAAAUAUUUGACUUUAUGAUCGAGCACCUGGGAGAGCUGGUCAAAAGAGCCAAGGACCUCCACACACAGUGGAAGUCCUGGGCCCCGCCUGAGGAGCAACAGCCACUCCAGACCCGAGUCCGCGAGCUGGAACGGGCGUUAAUGAAGCUCACUGCAAGAAAAGCUGAAUUUAUCAAAAUUCGAGGCAAAGAAGACAGGCCUAUUGCCACCACCUCUGGUUACACAGCAACACCUGUCCCACAGUUAAAGCCUGCCUCCCUCCCGAAGUUUCCUGGCACCAGAGGAGACUUCCAUCACUGGAGGAAGUACUGGGAGGCUCUCCAGGAGCAAGUUGAUCCAACUGGAUCAAAAGAAAUGAAAAAAGUACAGCUACUUGACAGCAUAGAUGACGCAACAUCAAGGGAUCUUCGGCUGUCGACAUACUCCACUGCGGAUGAUAUCUUCAAAGUCCUUGAAAAUCGCUAUGGUAACAAGACUAAUAAUGCAAUAGAGAUUGUUGAAGAGCUCCAAAGGCUACCCUCUGUCAAAGGAAACCAGCCCAAGAAGAUCAUUGAGCUUAUCCAGUUGGUAGAGAAGGCCUUUAUUGACCUGACUGACCUUGGGGAAACUGGAGCCAUCAAGAACACCCUCAUGACAAAGUCAUUAGAGGGCAAGCUUCCGGACUCCAUGAAGAAGGACUGGCUUCUGUACGCAGCAGAAAGAAAUGCAGAGCAAGGCAACCGUUUUGACAUCUUCUUAGCCUUCCUGAGAAGUCAGGAAGCCAUUUAUGAACAGCUGGACCAGCUGCAGGAUGAAGACGGCCCCAAAGUGAAGCAGGAUCCACAGCAGGACAAAACAGUGAUGCAGACAAGCAGCACUGCUCCUGAGUGCGUCAUCUGUGGACACGCUAAACACGGGCAAAGGCUGUACUUCUGCAGGAAAUUUCAAGCUCUCAAAUUAAGGGAGAAAAGGGAUGCUGUCAGAAAACUUGGGGCCUGCAAGAAGUGCCUGGAGAUUCACUCUGAAAACGAUGUCUGCAAAAAGGAAUUCCUGUGCCAACGGCCUGAAUGCAGCGAAGAACAGCACCACUUCUACUUGUGCCCCAAAACCGAGCGAGCCAGGACGUUCACUGCAUUGAAGACUAAAGUCAGCGCAGGUGGAGGGGCCAUCCCGAGGAGCUACACCAAAGCCCAGCACGAGUUUGUCAAGAAACUCCCCCCUGAACUGGCCAAAGAGUGCCGCAAUGUGUUCCGCAACCCGGCCAUGAGAACCUCGCAAGCCACUGGUGCACACAACCUGAGCGAGAGAGUUUUCAGAAGUUGGCCUGUCCAAAAGAAGUAUUAA
ensembl:lncRNA